UACGUAGGGGGCAAGCGUUGUCCGGAAUCAUUGGGCGUAAAGCGCGUGUAGGCGGCCUUGUAAGUCCGUUCUGAAAGCCCGGGGCUCAACCCCGGGAGGCGGAUGGAUACUGCAGGGCUCGAGUACGGAAGAGGCGAGUGGAAUUCCUGGUGUAGCGGUGGAAUGCGCAGAUAUCAGGAGGAACACCAAUAGCGAAGGCAGCUCGCUGGGACGUUACUGACACUGAGGCGCGAAAGCGUGGGGAGCGAACAGG
rnacentral:rRNA from 1 species